UACAGAGGUCUCAAGCGUUGUUCGGAUUCAUUGGGCGUAAAGGGUGUGUAGGUGGCGCCGUAAGUCGGGUGUGAAAUUUCGGAGCUUAACUCCGAAACUGCAUUCGAUACUGCGGUGCUUGAGGACUGGAGAGGAGACUGGAAUUCCAGGUGUAGCGGUGAAAUGCGUAGAUAUCUGGAGGAACACCGGUGGCGAAGGCGGCAUCCUGGGACCGGCAUUGACGCUGAGGCGCGAAAGCCAGGGGAGCAAAGCGGG
rnacentral:rRNA from 1 species